rnacentral:lncRNA from 13 species
ACUGCUGUGUUUAAUUCUCGCUGUCCCAUUUCUUCAAUCCUGUCGUCUCUCCAUCACGUUUAGGGCAUGCUGAUUGAAGGCCCUCCUGGACCUGCAGGCCCAGCUGGUCUCCCGGGCCCCUUGGGUCUACAUGGACCCCCUGGUGUUGCUGGGGAUCCGGGUGACAGGGGUCCCGCAGGGCGGGCUGGUCUUGCAGGAGCCGACGGUUUGCCAGGUCCUCCUGGCACCAUGCUCAUGCUGCCAGUAAGUACCAGAUCAGGAAUAUUGGGAAUUUACAUCCAAUUCAACAAACACUAUUAUCUACCACUAUUUAAAUGUAUUGGUAAAUCAAUUUUCUAACAACUGCUGAUGUAAAAAGGGCUUUAAACAUUAAUUGAUU